rnacentral:rRNA from 1 species
CGGCGAGUGAAGCGGCAACAGCUCAAAUUUGAAAUCUGGCUCCCCUUGGGGGUCCGAGUUGUAAUUUGGAGAGGAUGUUUCUGGCGCGGCGCCUACCGGAGUUCCUUGGAACAGGACGCCACAGAGGGUGAGAGCCCCGUACGGUUGGCCGCCUAGCCUUCACGAAACUCCUUCGACGAGUCGAGUAGUUUGGGAAUGCUGCUCAAAAUGGGAGGUAAAUUUCUUCUAAAGCUAAAUACCGGCCAGAGACCGAUAGCGCACAAGUAGAGUGAUCGAAAGAUGAAAAGCACCUUGAAAAGAGGGUUAAACAGUACGUGAAAUUGUUGAAAGGGAAGCGCCUGCGACCAGACUCGCGCCCCGCGGACCAACCGGCGUUCUCGCCGGUGCACUCCGCGGGGUGCGGGCCAGCAUCGGUUUUCCCUGGGGGAGAAAGGCUGCGGGAAUGUAGCUCCUUCGGGAGUGUUAUAGCCCGUGGCGCCAUGCCCCAGGGGGGACCGAGGACCGCGCUUCGGCAAGGAUGCUGGCGUAAUGGUCGUCGGCGACCCGUCUUGAAACACGGACCAAGGAGUCAAGCAUUGGGGCGAGUGUCUGGGUGCCAAACCCGCACGCGAAAUGAAAGUAAACGUAGGUGAGAGCUUCGGCGCAUCACCGACCGAUCCUGAUGUCUUCGGAUGGAUUUGAGUAAGAGCCCCACCGCUUGGACCCGAAAGAUGGUGAACUAUGCCUGUAUAGGGUGAAGCCAGAGGAAACUCUGGUGGAGGCUCGCAGCGGUUCUGACGUGCAAAUCGAUCGUCAAAUAUGGGCAUGGGGGCGAAAGACUAAUCGAACCAUCUA